AUUCUCGACGUAUGAGGAGCAACAAAUGCAAGACAACUCACUACAGAGCCCAGGACGUCAUCAUGGCUAAAAGCAAGAAUUUACACUGGGUCCUGUGCCUCUGGCUCCUCGUCAUACUUAUCAUCAAUGGGAUUAUAUUUCAGUUGCUUACCCUAAGAUCUCUAGGUAAAUGGAAUACACCAGCUGUCAUGAGUUAUUUGUCUUCAAACACAUCACAAAGCCC